rnacentral:rRNA from 1 species
AUUGAACGCUGGCGGCAGGCCUAACACAUGCAAGUCGAGCGAGCGGCGGACGGGUGAGUAAUGUCUGGGAAACUGCCUGAUGGAGGGGGAUAACUCCUGGAAACGGUAGCUACUACCGCAUACCAUCAGAUUUGCCCCGGUGGGAUUAGCUCGUAGGUGGGGUAACGGCUCACCUCGGCGACGAUCCCUAGCUGGUCUGAGAGGAUGACCAGACACACUGGAACUGAGACACGGUCCAGACUCCUACGGGAGGCAGCAGUGGGGAAUAUUGCACAAUGGGCGCAAGCCUGAUGCAGCCAUGCCGCGUGUGUGAAGAAGGCCUUCGGGUUGUAAAGCACUUUCAGCGGGGAGGCGUUACCCGCAGAAGAAGCACCGGCUAACUCCGUGCCAGCAGCCGCGGUAAUUC